CAAAUUCAAACAUUUCGAUUUUCAAAGUCAACUUCAGAAAGUCAUACUAGUAUUACACAAACAAAAACACAGCUCACCAUAUUUGUACAAAGUUUUUCAAUAAACAGAGUAAAAAUUUUCAAUAAAACAAGAGGUUCCAUCGCCCUGGAUAAUCAUCAUGCAAUAGAGAUGCAACUAGUUUUGGUGUGCCUUUGAGUAGUUGUGGUGUGCCUUUGAGUUGGCAUCAACAUUUUCAUCCACAUUUACUUUUUCAUCACUUUUUUCCAACAUCUCCUCAAUCGCCACAAUCUUCUACUCGUGUUGUUUAUCAACUUGAUUGUUGCCACCAUAUCAAGUUAUGGCUUUGUCUCCGAUUUCAUCAUCAUUCGAAUGGCAUACCUCAUAGUUCGUACCUACAAAAUUUUGUUUCCCCGCUCUUAAACUUCGUUUGCCCGCUCU
rnacentral:lncRNA from 1 species